rnacentral:rRNA from 1 species
AAUCAACGCUGGCGGCGUGCCUAACACAUGCAAGUCGAGCGAGAAAAGGGGAGCAAUCCUCUGAGUAAAGCGGCGCACGGGUGAGUAACACGUGGGUAAUCUACCCUGGAGUGGGGAAUAAACACCGGGAAACCGGUGCUAAUACCGCAUACGAUCACGAUGUCUGCGGAUGACGUGAUGAAAGGAGCAAUUCGCUCCAGGAGGAGCCCGCGGCUGAUUUAGCUAGUUGGUGAGGUAAUGGCUCACCAAGGCUACGAUCAGUAUCCGGUCUGAGAGGACGGUCGGACACACUGGAACUGAGACACGGUCCAGACUCCUACGGGAGGCUG